UACGAAGGGGGCUAGCGUUGUUCGGAAUUACUGGGCGUAAAGGGCGCGUAGGCGGCGUGUCAAGUCAGGCGUGAAAGCCCCGGGCUCAACCUGGGAACCGCGCUUGAGACUGGCAUGCUCGAGUUCGGGAGAGGAUGGUGGAAUUCCCAGUGUAGAGGUGAAAUUCGUAGAGAUCGGGAGGAACAUCUGUGGCGAAGGCGGCCACCUGGACCAGCACUGACACUGAGGCACGAAAGCGUGGGGAGCAAACAGG
rnacentral:rRNA from 1 species